CUGGGGGAAGAAAACACUGGAUGGGAGCGAGCGAGAGCGGAUGGUACUUGGUUUCCUCCCAGAAAUGCAUCCACGUGCGCCCCACUGGGGCCUCCCCCAUCUGCUGCAGACUCCAGGGAACUUCCUCCCCUCAAAGACGAACUUCCAGCCCUGGAGCAUGUUUCUUCCUUUCCUGGGAUGUGGCGCUGAAAAGGGCAGAAACCUCUAGUAAGGCACAAGCAACAGAUUGGGGGUGGAGCAGCAGGUCUCUUUGGAGGUGGCCUGGAAGAAACCGGACAGAGAGGAUGGGAAGGGGAGAAACAGAAGAGUGUGACGAGAUCAUGAAGGAAAGAGGAGGCGUCUACUGAAUGUAAGGUAGAGCCAAAGGCAUCUAUUGAUGACUGAAGAAGAGGCAUGAAUAUGACAAAAACAGGAAGGUAGG
rnacentral:lncRNA from 1 species